rnacentral:lncRNA from 12 species
AAAAAGGAAAUUAGUUUUUGCAUAUGGAUGGCAUGGAUCCAUUUUGAGAAUUUUCAGGGGUCAGAGACCCAGGUCAGAAAUCACUGCCCCACAGCUGGUCCUUUAAUGAUAUCUGAUUAGAGUCAAGUUUCCAACAGCCCAGCAACUGAGAGAGUCUCCCUAAAAUCAGCUUGAGAUACACAGGUAUACACUGGAGAUAUCUCAAAGCCAAAAUUCUUAUCAUGUAACCAUUCUUCUGAUUUUAAUGUUGACUUUCUAUUUUUAGAAAUAAUCUAGAUUUUAGACUUUUAUUGCCUAUUAUUACAAUUUUUUGAGGUGCUGUAGAGACUUCUAUGCAUUCAUAAUACAUCAUUUCUCUUCCUCCUGGGCAAAGAGCUAGACGGACAGGAGGGGCUACGUCACUGAAUUCCAGCCAACAAAAUCUGGGUAGAAGUGAUCUACACCACAUGACAGAAGGGCACUGGGUCCCUGAAUGAUUGAGUGGAACAGAGUCACCAACACUCUCUACCUGAGCUGGAAUGUGACAUCAGUGAAAAAUAAACUCUCAUUGUACUAAACCACUGAGAUUUUUUGAAUCGUUUGUUAUGACACUUAUCCUACCCUGAUUUACACAGAGGAAUAAAAUAAAGACCCUGCAAUAAUAAUAAUGUUAAAUUUUCAAAGAGAAAACAAUUCAGCUUUUUGCAAUCUCAGCUACUGGGGUUGUUACGAAUAAUGUAGUUUUAACAUCAGUGGGUGAUGAGCAGAAAGCUUUGCGGCUUCUCAGAUGACAUAAACAUAGUGUAUUUGCUUUUCAGGUGCUGGAAAUGUGUCUGACUAAUACAUGAAAGAAAUAUUUUAAAAGGCUGACUUGGAGAAAAUGCUCAACAUGGAGAGAACAAAAUUUUUCCAAAAAGGAAAACAACUCAGUCUGGUCCCAAAGCCUUCUCCAGGCUCUCACAGAGGGACAUCAAAAGUGAAGUAAAAUGCCUGGACUUAUUCUGAAAUUUAAGGAAAAUUUUCUCAUGAAGCAGGAUCAAGUUUCCAGGUUUCCAGCCUGUGUUGUGAAGCCCAUGGCCUGCCAAUGUUUUAAAUAAAGCAG